AUCCGAAGGCCCAAGGGUGGUAGUUCUUCAACCCCCGAAAAGGCCUUUCCUUUAUCACUGAUCUUCCAUCGUUCAUUCAUAAAUAGAAGAAUCAGUUUUUCUUUGCUUUUUCUUUGCUUCCUUGAGAUUUUCCUUCUCGUUGGAGCGAUCCUCGUACCAGCCCCAACGACAACAGUCGGGUAGAGGUCGACGAUCAGAAAGACUUUCACCGACUGAAAAAUAUAUCGGUGCCGAAGCAGAAAGAGC
rnacentral:lncRNA from 1 species